rnacentral:rRNA from 1 species
GACGAACGCUGGCGGCGUGCUUAGCACAUGCAAGUCGAACGGAAAGGCCCUGCUUUUGUGGGGUGCUCGAGUGGCGAACGGGUGAGUAACACGUGAGUAACCUGCCCUUGACUUUGGGAUAACUUCAGGAAACUGGGGCUAAUACCGGAUAGGAGCUCCUGCUGCAUGGUGGGGGUUGGAAAGUUUCGGCGGUUGGGGAUGGACUCGCGGCUUAUCAGCUUGUUGGUGGGGUAGUGGCUUACCAAGGCUUUGACGGGUAGCCGGCCUGAGAGGGUGACCGGCCACAUUGGGACUGAGAUACGGCCCAGACUCCUACGGGAGGCAGCAGUGGGGAAUAGUGCACAAUGGGCGGAAGCCUGAUGCAGCAACGCCGCGUGCGGGAUGACGGCCUUCGGGUUGUAAACCGCUUUCGCCUGUGACGAAGCGUGAGUGACGGUAAUGGGUAAAGAAGCACCGGCUAACUACGUG